rnacentral:rRNA from 1 species
CCAAUAGCGUAUAUUAAAGUUGUUGCAGUUAAAAAGCUCGUAGUUGAAUUUCGGGAUCAAUGGAUCGGUCAUGCCGUUGGUAUGUACUGGUUUUAUUGAUUCUCACCUUCUAAAGAACCAUGAUGGCAUUAAUUUGUUGUUGUGGGGAAUUAGGACUGUUACCUUGAAAAAAUUAGAGUGUUUAAAGCAGGCUUACGCUUGAAUACAUUAGCAUGGAAUAACGAAAUAGGACAUCGCAUUCUAUUUUGUUGGUUUCUAGGAUCGAUGUAAUGAUUAAUAGGGAUAGUUGGGGGCAUUAGUAUUCAAUUGUCAGAGGUGAAAUUCUUGGAUUUAUUGAAGACUAACUACUGCGAAAGCAUUUGCCAAGGAUGUUUUCAUUAAUCAAGAACGAAAGUUAGGGGAUCGUAGACGAUCAGAUACCGUCGUAGUCUUAACCAUAAACUAUGCCGACUAGGGAUCGGAUGAUGUUAAUUUUUUAAUGACUCAUUCGGCACCUUACG